AUUGAACGCUGGCGGCAUGCUUUACACAUGCAAGUCGAACGGCAGCGCGGGCUUCGGCCUGGCGGCGAGUGGCGAACGAGUGAGUAAUGCAUCGGAACGUGCCCAGUAGUGGGGGAUAGCCCGGCGAAAGCCGGAUUAAUACCGCAUACGACCUGAGGGUGAAAGCGGGGGACCGAAAGGCCUCGCGCUAUUGGAGCGGCCGAUGUCGGAUUAGCUAGUUGGUGGGGUAAAGGCUUACCAAGGCGACGAUCCGUAGCUGGUCUGAGAGGACGACCAGCCACACUGGGACUGAGACACGGCCCAGACUCCUACGGGAGGCAGCAGUGGGGAAUUUUGGACAAUGGGGGCAACCCUGAUCCAGCCAUGCCGCGUGCGGGAAGAAGGCCUUCGGGUUGUAAACCGCUUUUGUUCGGGAAGAAAUCCUCUGGGCUAAUACCCCGGGGGGAUGACGGUACCGGAAGAAUAAGCACCGGCUAACUACGUG
rnacentral:rRNA from 1 species